GGGGCAUGGUGCAAUGCCAUCCUUUUUCCCGUGGGGGUGGCAGCAGGGCUCUUUUUGCAUCCUAUCUGACUUCCCCUUGUUCUAUCUUAUGCCUAGAUUUCCUCCAAAGGAGCAUCCAGUGCUCGCACUACCGGGGGCCCCAGCCCAAUUCCCCGUCCUGGAGGAGCACAGGGAACUCCAGAAGUACAUGGUAUGGUCAGAUGAGAUGGUGAGGACAGGAGAGGCCCAGAUCAGUACCCACCUCGUCCGGCCCUAUGUGGGCAUUCAUCUGCGCAUUGGCUCCGACUGGGUAACUUCCUCUUCCUCUCUCUAGCUGGCAUUUGCCUAAGCAGAGCCCAGGCCUGUAGUGAUUGGUGGGGAGUCUUAGCUUGG
rnacentral:lncRNA from 1 species